AAUUGUUUGAAUUCUUAAAAUGGAAAAGGCAACUCCCGUGGUAGCGGCGGCUAAUGGUAAAGUCCCGGCGACGAGGCAAAAUUUACUAACUCGUAUUGGCCGAGGAAUACCAGAGGUCAUGAAGAUUUAUAACCAAAAAUGCGCAUGCAAUAGAGACAAAACAAUUGUGUUUUGCCGGGCUUGUGGCUAUUAUUGCUCAGGACGAAUCCGAAUCAAGUGCGAGAAGCAUCCACGGGUGUCCUUCUUGUUGGAUAUUUCAGAAUGCCCUCGGUGCCAUUCACCUGCAUUUCUUGAUGAAUAUUAUGCUAACAUUUAAGACACUCCAUGACAUUCAUUACAUUAUAUUUUUUAUAUACAUUGUUAUAUUUUUUUCAUGAAUACUGUUACUGAAUCAGUGAGACAAAUUUAAAAUUCAGUAGAAAUAUUUUUGUUGAUUUUUUUAGGUAUAUUUGUUAACUAAGAAAUGGUUAGUCUAAAAACAUAUUUUUUCUGUUUCUACAUGAUCUUAAUUAGUUGUAAUAAGUAAUUUGUUGGUCUGACAAUAUAGAAGCAUUGAUUGCUAUUCAGACUUGUGCCAAUGUGAGGCUUUAAUAUAUUAUAAGAUAGAUAUAAGUUUAUCUUGUGUAACACAUGGCAUUGAUUGCCUUUUUCUGUUUUUCUAACAAAUUGUAAGUCAAACUUUAUUUUUUAAUUAUAAGGACCAGAAAUAACUAUUUUUUGUAACAAAAAUAUAGUUAUUUCUGACGUAUUUCAAAUGAUUGUUAUUGAUCUGUUAAGUUUAUUGUCCACUUUAUUUUGUAAAAAUAAAUGGCAUAAACUAAAAA